rnacentral:sRNA from 1 species
UGAUUGGAUGAAAAAAGGACUUUUUAUGAUGCUCAUUUUAUCGAUACCUGUCUAUUUGACGGUCUUGUUUAUCCUUCAAAUCUAUAAGAAAAAGACGACGACCUAUUUCCCAUUAAAAAAUGAAUUUGCACAUUGGACAAAUAAGGAGGCUACCAAAUGAAGAACGAGCAAAGUGAAAAACCACUUGUCAUUAAAAUCGUCAUCGGCGUUUUACUCGGUUUACUGAUACUUAAUUUCAUGCCGUUUAUGGCGAUUUUUUCCUGAUUGGUUUGCUCUUAAAAAGGAAGCUUGUCAACUUUUUAUUACUAUGAUAUAUUAAUUUUGUAAUAUAGCUUUUUUAUGGUGAGACAGUUAAUGGCAAAUCGAUGCCUUAAUGCUUUUUUGAUAAAAAGACUCCGAAUUACCGUCUUGGUUAUUCUUUGGGGUCUUUUUUUAU